rnacentral:lncRNA from 1 species
GCUCUCAUGCUGCCAGCAACUGGGUUGACUCGGAUUUCGAUUGUGUUCAAGAGGUUUUAGAUACUGUGAUUCCAAAUCCUUUUGUUUCAAAUGGCAAGGGUGGAGUUACAGAUCUAGAAGGCAACUCAUCAUUUCCUGCAGAUGCAAGGCAACUCUCUAGUGAUGUGAAUUUCAGUCCAGACAAGGGUGAGAGUGAGUCAAGAAAUGGAUCAAGGAGCAAGAAAAAUCGUUACCGGGAGGAUGGCGAUUAUGUAGAUGAAGAGAGGAGCUACAAGCAGUCAGCAGUAUAUGCUGACGAAGCUGAGCCAGAAGAGAUGUUUGAUCAGGUACUACUCUGUCAGGGUGAUAAAUCACGUUCAUCUCCAC